AAGGAAAAGCAAGUUAUGAGAACGUUAAGAAAUUCGUAUGAAAAUAGGAAGAUUUAUCUUUUUCACUAGAAUUUUAGUUCGCAUACAAUUGCUCGGAACUGUACGUUGUCUUCUUUAAUUUUGAGAGGUCUUGUUGGGGCCUUAGCUCAGCUGGGAGAGCGCCUGCUUUGCACGCAGGAGGUCAGCGGUUCGAUCCCGCUAGGCUCCAUAGGAUAGAAUCCUACUGAACUGAAUAGCAGUGAAGUUGAAUUCACGACUAACUUCUUAGGAAAAAAGAUAAAUCUCCUAGUGUGCAGGACACACUUUGUCGGUUUCCUAUUUUUCUACAGAAGUUUCGCACAAGCGACCGUCGUUCAUAUCCUAAACUUGUCCAUUGAAAAUUGAAUAUCUAUAUCAAAUAGUAACAAGAAAAUAAACCGAAAACGCUGUGAAUUAAUGAGUUCACUAAUGGUAACAUUAGUAGAAGAU
rnacentral:tRNA from 1 species